rfam:Cricetulus griseus cell line CHO-K1, whole genome shotgun sequence.
UGGGAUGUAGCUCAGUGGUAGAGCAUUUGCCUAACACAUUUGAGGCCCUAGGUUCAAUUCCCAGUGUCCUGG